rnacentral:rRNA from 1 species
AAAAGCUCAAAUUUGAAAUCUGGCACUUUCAGUGUCCGAGUUGUAAUUUGAAGAAGGUAUCUUUGGGUCUGGCUCUUGUCUAUGUUUCUUGGAACAGAACGUCACAGAGGGUGAGAAUCCCGUGCGAUGAGAUGUCCCAGACCUAUGUAAAGUUCCUUCGAAGAGUCGAGUUGUUUGGGAAUGCAGCUCUAAGUGGGUGGUAAAUUCCAUCUAAAGCUAAAUAUUGGCGAGAGACCGAUAGCGAACAAGUACAGUGAUGGAAAGAUGAAAAGAACUUUGAAAAGAGAGUGAAAAAGUACGUGAAAUUGUUGAAAGGGAAGGGCUUGAGAUCAGACUUGGUAUUUUGUAUGUUACUCUCUCGGGGGUGGCCUCUACAGUUUACCGGGCCAGCAUCAGUUUGGGCGGUAGGACAAUUGCAAAGAAAUGUGGCACUGCCUCGGUAGUGUGUUAUAGUCUUUGUCGAUACUGCCAGCCUAGACUGAGGACUGCGGCUUCGG